CCUACGGGAGGCAGCAGUGGGGAAUAUUGGGCAAUGGGCGCAAGCCUGACCCAGCAAUGCCGCGUGAAGGAAGAAGGCUUUCGGGUUGUAAACUUCUGUGACAGGGGAAGAGCAGAAGACGGUACCCUGAAAACAAGCCACGGCUAACUACGUGCCAGCAGCCGCGGUAAUACGUAGGUGGCAAGCGUUGUCCGGAGUUACUGGGUGUAAAGGGCGUGUAGCCGGGAAGGCAAGUCAGAUGUGAAAUCUGGAGGCUCCACCUCCAAAUUGCAUUUGAAACUGUUUUUCUUGAGUACUGGAGAGGCAGACGGAAUUCCUUGUGUAGCGGUGAAAUGCGUAGAUAUAAGGAGGAACACCAGUGGCGAAGGCGGUCUGCUGGACAGCACCUGACGGUGCGGCGCGAAAGCGUGGGGAGCAAACAGGAUUAGAUACCCUUGUAGUC
rnacentral:rRNA from 1 species